GUCGAACGGAGUAGCAAUACUCAGUGGCAGACGGGUGAGUAACAUGUGGGUAUCUUCCCUUUGGUGAGGAAUAACACGAGGAAACUUGUGCUAAUACCUCAUAAGUCUUUACAGAGAAAGCUUUGUGCGCCAUUGGAUGAGCCCGCACUUGAUUAGUUUGUUGGUGGGGUAAUGGCCUACCAAGACUUUGAUCAAUAGCUGAUUUGAGAGGAUGAUCAGCCACAUUGGGACUGAGACACGGCCCAAACUCCUACGGGAGGCAGCAGUAGGGAAUCUUGCACAAUGGAGGAAACUCUGAUGCAGCGAUGCCGCGUGAGUGAAGAAGGCCCUUGGGUUGUAAAGCUCUUUCGUCGGGGAAGAAAAUGACUGUACCCGAAUAAGAAGGUCCGGCUAACUUCGUGCCAGCAGCCGCGGUAAUACGAAGGGACCUAGCGUAGUUCGGAAUUACUGGGCUUAAAGAGUUCGUAGGUGGUUAAAAAAGUUGGUGGUGAAAUCCCAGAGCUUAACUCUGGAACUGCCAUCAAAACUUUUUAGCUAGAGUAUGAUAGAGGAAAGCAGAAUUUCUAGUGUAGAGGUGAAAUUCGUAGAUAUUAGAAAGAAUACCAAUUGCGAAGGCAGCUUUCUGGAUCAUUACUGACACUGAGGAACGAAAGCAUGGGUAGCGAAGAGGAUUAGAUACCCUCGUAGUCCA
rnacentral:rRNA from 1 species